rnacentral:rRNA from 1 species
AACGAACGCUGGCGGCAGGCCUAACACAUGCAAGUCGAGCGCCCAGCAAUGGGAGCGGCGCACGGGUGAGUAACACGUGGGAACGUGCCCUUUGGUUCGGAAUAACGCAGGGAAACUUGUGCUAAUACCGGAUAAGCCCUACGGGGGAAAGAUUUAUCGCCAUUGGAGCGGCCCGCGUCUGAUUAGCUAGUUGGUGAGGUAACGGCCCACCAAGGCAACGAUCAGUAGCUGGUUUGAGAGAACGACCAGCCACACUGGGACUGAGACACGGCCCAGACUCCUACGGGAGGCAGCAGUGGGGAAGUCUUGGACAAUGGGGAAACCCGUGAUCCAGCCAUGCCGCGUGAGUGAUGAAGGCCCUAGGGUUGUUAAAACUACUUUUCGGCGGGGACGAUAAUGACGGUACCCGCAGAAGAAGCUCCGGCUAACUUCGUGCCAGCCGCCGCCGUAA